UGUAACUAAUUAUAACAUAUAUUCCUAUAAAUUUACAAUUAUAAUUAUCCAUAGCUUUUGAUUGUGUUUCCAAAAUGAAUAACAACCUUUAAUCACAAUGUCAUCUCCACCUCUUGCUUCUAUAUAACUCAUCUCAUAUGUCUCUAUAAAAUCCCACAAUACUUAUGUCUUGCUAAAGAAAAAACAAAUAUGAGCUAUAAUACAAAGUUAGUAGUUCUCAUGUUUCUUAUUUUCACUAUCACCUCUACUGAUGUAUCAAACGCUACCCCUCGUCAUUUUGUGAAUCUCAGGUCGGAGAAGGGUAUUGAUGAUGUUAAGGAGGGUAGCGAAAUAAAGGAGAGGGAGCUUGUGGAGUUUCAUCUAGACUAUGCACGAACAGGAGCCAAUCAAGAUCAUGAACCAGGGAAAGGAAAACCAUAAAAGCAAACUUAAACCAUUCAUAAAAUAAUGAGCUUCAUUAAACGAAUAAUAUAUUUACCAAUCAAAACAAAAAAUACCAUGCAUGUAUACAUAUAUGAUGUAAUGGACCAAGCUUUAGGGAAAUAUUACAGUAAUAAAUGAAAAAGAUACGUAUGCAUGCAUAUGACUUUAAGUUUUUAUCAUGUGAGUCUUUGUCUCAUUGACAUUAAGUGUCAUGUUAAGUAUUCGUUUGUUAUGUGA